GGGGAUUUAGCUCAGUGGCAGAGCUCCUGCCUGGCAAGCACAAGGUCCUGAGUUCAAUCCCUG
rnacentral:tRNA from 1 species